AUGCUGGUCCCGAUCUCAAGGACCAACCCGUGGUCCCACGCCCACCACGCCCAGGGCCCGGCCGCCGACGCGGGCGCUGCCCACCGUGAGAGCGGCGGCGGCGGCGCCUUCGCCCCGCCGUCGUUCCUGGCGCUCCUCUACCUCCUGGCGGGGCUCCUCGCCGUCUACCUACUCCACGCCGGCGCGCGCCGGCUCUACGCGUGCUGCGUCCCGUCGGCCUCGCCACCGCGGCAGCCUCCUCCUCCCCCCGCGCGGCCGCCGUGCCGGCGCGUGGACCCGGCCGAGGUGGCGGUGUCCCUGCCGGUGCGCGCCCACGAGGGCGACGGCGACGACGACGACGUGUGCGCGGUGUGCCUCACGGAGCUGCAGCUGCGGGAGAGCGUGAAGGCGAUCCCGGCGUGCGGGCACGUGUUCCACCCGCCCUGCAUCGACCGCUGGCUCCAGUCCCUCGCCGCCGCCGGCGCCGGCCACGCCUCCUGCCCGCUCUGCCGCCGCUCCGCCGCCGACCCCGUCGCCGACGACGACGACGGCCCGCUCAAGCCGCCCCAGCAGCAGCAGCAGCACGACGAGGAGGCGCCCGCGCCAGCGGCCGCCGCGUGA
rnacentral:rRNA from 1 species